CACUCUCCUCCCUGCCACCCGGUCCAAGAACCAGUGAUCAAAAGUCUUGGCCGUUGUCAAGGGAAGCGGUUUACAUCACCGGAAAGUCGCCUUUUCGUUGCCCUCCUCAUUCUUGCUUUAUUCACGCGCGAUGGCCCGUUCAACCUAGUGAACGUGACCAAAGUGGGCUUGGACCGCAUGUCGUUUCUCCCUCAGGCUUGUUUGCCUUUCAUUCCCUUUCUUGGAGUAUCCAGUCUCGCCUACUGCCCUGAUAACAGGGAGGCACCCCACAAGGGCGUCAGGGUGUUGCACAUUCUCUCUCUGUCUCUCUGUGCGUGUGUGUUGGAGGGGGGAGGGAGCCACGCAGCCCCUCCCCCUAACCCUAUCCCUCUGCCGAAUGCCGAGCCACGUCUGAUGGGCGACAAGGUCAGGUACCUACGGCGCAGGGAAAGUCUGAGCGAUGCAUCGCUGCGGAUGUCGGCGGGUCAGGUCGUGGACGGCGUGGUCGCCGAAGCGACCUGCAGCAGGGAAGAGGCUCGCAGGAUCCACAUGAUGGGUAAAGCGCGAACACCACUCGAGCGUGCACCCCAUCCCCUGGCCCCUUACACCACCUACUGGUCAGGGGAGCCGGAGUGCCACCUCCGAGGGGAUGCAUCGUGUGGCGACCGACAUGAGCGGUGAGGCUCUGGGGCGGCUGCUUAGAGCUGGAGGCAGGUGUCGCGCUCAGAUGUGCGGGGCGGGGUUCCUUGAAAGGAUAGCAUGCAGCUCAUCUCUCGCUCGAUGACCGGGCAGAGGUGGUUGAAGGGGAAACAAAGUGCCCGAUUACGUGGCUGCCUGUUGUUGAUUGCAGGUCGGUUGUAGCUUGUUUGCUGCCGGGCAUGGGUGGUUUCUUGUUUGUUUUUGUGUACUUUCCCUCCCUCCUGAUGUUCUACUUGCCUGUUGCGCUUCCUCUGUGUGUGUGCGUGUGUGUGAUGUAUGUCUCUGUUGCCGGUUUCACGUGUCGGUGCCUGCCCUCUUGCUAGCCUUUCCCCUGUCGCUGUUUCUUUGGCACGGCGCUUAUCGUGCUUUUUCUUGUUUUUCCGUGUGUCCGUUGUUGUAUGUACUUCUCCCAUUGGGUUAUUUGUUUUUCUUGCUCUGGGGGGUGGGGGGGGCGGUGUAGGGAAGGGUCUGUCUUCUUUACUCCUUCUCCUCCCUCCCUUUUCUUGCCCUUCGAGGAUGCCAGCCCCAGCGAAACGAAUGAAAACGACAGCCGCCACAGAAUAGGUCGCCAAACGCCUCGCCGCGAAAGGGAAAACGAAAAAAAAGUCGAAGCAAGAAAAGAAGAACGCAGUUUGCAUUCGAAAAGAGAUCGAACCAAUAAAAAAACGGUGACGAGACGAUUGAUGGGAAGACGAGUUUUUCGUGUGCUUGGCAUACUGGGCCUGCCUUAAACAUUCUCUUUUCGCGGCUCUCUUCCUCCUAAAGCACAUGACGCUCAGUCGUCUUUCGGCUGUAUUCGUUUCUGUCUCCGCCUCUGCCUCUCUCGGGGUUUCUGUUGUUUUUCCUCUUCCCCUCUCUCUGCCCAAGACGGCACGGGAGAACGGGUCUGUGAGUCGAUUGCCCAUCUUUCUUCCGCGCUGGCCUGCACGAUGGCUUCUCUGUGCUGCAUGGGAUGCAUGCAUGAAGUGGGUUGGCUGCUGCAGUUCCUGUUUUUUGAGGACGCGCCCUUUUUUCCCUCUUCUGCAUCCUCUCUUCCUCAACGGAACGCGGUAGACACGCACGCACACAACCACAAGCAACAUACCAAAGGUAAAGGUAUGAGGAUCGCUGUGGGCGCUCUCCGUCUUUGAAAGCGAGUGCACAGCUCGGCUGCUCCCCCUCAGUGAUUCACCGAGUUUAUUAUACGCCCACCCUCGUGGUAUGCUGCGAAAUGAAAUCCGCAAUAACAGAACUGUGCUUUUUUUGCCGUUUUUUUUUUGUUUUGUGAGUUUUGCCUUUCUCUCUCUCCUUAUCCAUCUUGCUCACGACUUCAUGCCGCCCUCACCGAGCGCCGAUACGAAGGGUAAAGUGAGUGCCGACGCCGACCCCAGAUGGAAGCGCACAACGCAUCUUACUCGACGCACUCCGUGUGCUGGCGCAUACAUGUGUGUACGUGUAUUCAUUAUAUUCUGUGGUCAGAUGCAUCUCUCCUCGUAUCUUGUCGGCGGCUCGCACAUGUUUAACGGUUUUGUUCAUGUUUUUGGCAGACUCGUGAGACGUGCUGUUCCUUUUUUUGUCCCCCUUUUUUCGUCUCUGCUUUUAUUGUGUGCACCUCCAUGCGUUAAUAUAUAUAUAUAUAUAUGAUGGACUCUUGGCGUUUCACUUGUUUUGUUGUCCUCCGUUUCGCUGUUGCCUUUGUGGUGGUUUUGUUCAUCAGCUUUCGUGGUAGCACAACAUCCGUUACGCGCGUCCGGUACGUGUGCUUCUUUUCUCCCUUUCUUUUCUGAACUCUUCCUCGCGUGGGCGCCUCCACCUCACCCACAGCUUCGCCGGCAUCUGCAGUGCCAUCUCUGGGAGGUACUGGGAGCGCAGUGGGUCGGCGAAGACGAACGUGGGAGAAAAUGCAAGCCAUAGCAUGCACCGUAGACGUGUCGUCUCUCUAGGACGUGUCUUCUGCCUUGCCUUCUGAGGAUUGUGAGGCGACCAGUUUUCACCCCCCUCCCUCACGCACACCCCAUUCCUUCCCCUUCUGCAGUUGCCUCUGGAAUCCACGUCGACGCUGUGUCGCUCCUCUAUUUUGCCUCACGCGUGCCUCUCGGCUUAUAUGUGGGCCACCUUUUCCGUGUCUCCGUAUGUGCACGUACAUGUCAGAUGCGUAGUUUCACACGCGGUCUUUCUCUUUUUGGGACACGGGCACGCAUCUGCUCCCCCUCCCGCCGGAGAGACGCGCACACUCACGCGCUAGUGAGAUCAUGUGGUGAGGAUAAGUGGAGGGUGCAGCACACGCGGGGGAUUCGCUUUGUUUUUUUUUCUUCGCGUCCCUCUCCGUCGGCGACCGGUGCUCUCUCUCUUUUUUGUGAUUGUGCUGUGCAUUCCCUUUCACUGUUCAUUUCUUUUUUUCCGUUUGGCUUCACGUUUCCCCCUCCCUUUGUUGCCGUUUUGCAGGGAAAGCCUUUUGCCGCCUCCCUUAUCCUUUCUCCUGCCUCAUGUGACGUUUUCUUGUUUUGUUCUCGUGCGCGUUCCCGUUCUCCUUCAGCUUCCCGUUGAGUCGUUGGCCUUUAGGUUUCCUCUGCCCUUUUCUUCCCUCAUUCCACACACCCACUCCCAUCCUCGGGCGCACUCAGCGUGUUUAUCAUGGGUCGGUGUUUCUUCCUGUUUUACAAAAUCCCCUCCGAAACAACAAAGAGGGAGAGCAGGGAAUGCUAGCAGCAACGAGCAACUUGCUCUGAGUCUUUUCCUUGCUUCCUCCACACUUGUUUUUGCUGCCGGGGUGUACCGACGAGUGAGACAGACACGCUCCCUUCUGCAUAACGGCACGCAUGAAUUCCGUUGUCUUUCUUUCCCCCGUUCUGUUGGUCGAGUCACCUAGGCAGGCACCCAGCGCUUUCCACUUGUGUUUCGUUCGUGGGGAUGUGAUGGCAGUGCUCUGAGAAGAUGUCUAAUCCAAUCAUCCACGCAAUCACAGCUGGCAGAGCGGCCUCCCGCAGCGAAGUAGUUGCUGGUAUGAGGAGGGGGAGAGCAGACAGAGGCGCCGGUGCCCUUUCACCGGCUGAACGGAUUCCGAUCAGCCAGCGUGCUACUUCCCUCCCCUCCCCACAUCUCUGCCGCCGUGGCUGCUGCUGAGGGUAGACGUAGUGCUCCGUGCUCGCGCCGGCUCCUUUCGUAACGCUGUCGUCUCGCUCGCCCCCCCCCCCCGCUGCGCCCUCCCCCGCCUCACUCUCUCGUCCGCAAAGCGCAUGCUAUAGUUUCAGGUCACGCAUACGCCUGCGGUCGAACAGGGAAGGCGAAUGAUGCUAUCGUGCGCGGUUGAUUGGCAUCCUCGCCCGUUCAGGGCGAACUAACAAAGUUUCGACAAGCAGCGGCGCAUGCAAACUGAAAUCCCCCGCCGGACAUCAUCUGGCACCAAUAGGGUGCGCACCCCUGCUGCUGCCGUGAGAAGAUGUGUGCGUGCGCCAUCUCCCUCUGGGAGCGACAAACGUAUAUUUACCUUUGUGCUAUAUAGAUGUUGAGUGCCGACUUGGCUAUGAAUGUUGAGUGUCGCUCCUCACUCCGUUCAUUCUUACACGAAAAGGUUUCUCGCAUGGUGUAUGUGUGUGUGCGAUCCUCUCCCUCUCUGUCUCGACUAUGCUUCUCUGUUCGAGUCUCCAGGUUCUUUUUUUUUUCGUAUUUUCCUACACCUGCAACCCUCCCCUCCUCCCGACUUUGGUUUACGCUUGUGUGCCCCCGUCACUAUCGCACAGCAUCUCCGUGUCUGCGUUGCUUAAGCGCUCUUUUCCUUUCUAUUCAGUGGUGUGCUUGCUGGCUCUACUUUAACGGCGUUGCUUUUCAUUGUGGUUACUUGUUUCCUCCUCGUCCGUCCGCCCUCCUUUCUUCAGGUUCCGCGGGUCUGUCUCUUUGCCUGACCCGCUCUGUAUGCGGGGACACGCAACCGCUGCCCUCCCCCCGCGAAAAAGCGUUAUCGAGCCAAUGGAGCGCGUCGUUGUUGUGUUUGCAGCUCUCCCACAGCCAAUUUUUUUUGUG
rnacentral:misc_RNA from 1 species